GAGCAUUGCAGGCCAGGAGAAGAAGGAGCAGGGAGGCAGCCCUGGGAAGUACUAUUGAGGAGAGGUGGUGAUAGAGAAGCUAAACUUAGGAAGAAAGAUUUAAAGUGGAUCUUUGCCUUGAAAGCUCUACAACCAUAUGGAUUAAAUAUAGAAUUCAAUAUGAAGGCUGGAGUGCACCUGGUUCCUCCAUCAAGCGAGAUAUAAAUCAGCGAACAUAAAGAAAUUUCUGUCAGACACAUCCCUUAGAAACUAUAUAGUCUCCUAGCAAGUGGGAAGAUUCACUAAACUCUAAUUUUUAGACUCCUAUGGAUUCGGAGAUAUAGAAUAUAUGAGUAGGUGGGUCAGUAUG